rnacentral:rRNA from 1 species
UGGGGAAUAUUGCGCAAUGGGGGCGAACCCUGACGCAGCAACGCCGCGUGAUUGAAGAAGGUCUUCGGAUUGUAAAAAAUCUUUUUAUCAAGGACGAAGAAGUGACGGUACUUGAUGAAUAAGCUCCGGCUAACUACGUGCC